rnacentral:rRNA from 1 species
GGGCAUCACAUGAAGUAGCAAUACGGAUGGUGGCGACCGGCGCACGGGUGAGUAACACGUACGCAACCUGCCUUCAACAAGGGGAUAACCCGUUGAAAGACGGACUAAUACCCUAUAACACAGGGGCCCCGCGUGGGGAUAUUUGUUAAAGAUUAAUCGGUUGAAGAUGGGCAUGCGUUCCAUUAGCUAGUUGGUGGGGUAAUGGCCCACCAAGGCAACGAUGGAUAGGGGAACUGAGAGGUUUAUCCCCCACACUGGUACUGAGACACGGACCAGACUCCUACGGGAGGCAGCAGUGAGGAAUAUUGGUCAAUGGACGCAAGUCUGAACCAGCCACGUCGCGUGAAGGAAGACGGCCCUACGGGUUGUAAACUUCUUUUGCAAGGGAAUAAAGUGAGUCACGUGUGACUUUUUGCAAGUACCUUGCGAAUAAGGAUCGGCUAACUCCGUGCCAGCAGCCGCGGUAAUACGGAGGAUCCGAGCGUUAUCCGGAUUUAUUGGGUUUAAAGGGUGCUCAGGCGGGCGAUUAAGUCGGCGGUGAAAUUUUGCGGCUCAACCGUAAAAGUGCCUUCGAAACUGGUUGCCUUGAGUGUG